CUCCUUUGAGCAUGACGUUAUUCGUCCUGUCGGGCGUCCUCACAAAUUACCUGCAUUCAGAGAUUCAUACCGGCACAGGUCGGUAUGCGAAGUCCCUUUUGGGGCCUUAGCUCAGCUGGGAGAGCACCUGCUUUGCAAGCAGGGGGUCGUCGGUUCGAUCCCGACAGGCUCCACCAUAUUGAGUGAAAAGACUUCGGGUCUGUAGCUCAGGUGGUUAGAGCGCACCCCUGAUAAGGGUGAGGUCGGUAGUUCGAGUCUACCCAGACCCACCACUCUGAAUGUAGUGCACACUUAAGAAUUUAUAUGGAUCAGCGUUGAGGCUGAGACAUGUUCUUUUAUAACUUGUGACGUAGCGAGCGUUUGAGAUAUCUAUCUAAACGUGUCGUUGAGGCUAAGGCGGGGACUUCGAGUCCCUAAAUAAUUGAGUCGUAUGUUCGCGUUGGUGGCUUUGUACCCCACACAACACGGCAUGUAGCUCCGAGGCAACUUGGGGUUAUAUGGUCAAGCGAAUAAGCGCACACGGUGA
rnacentral:tRNA from 1 species